rnacentral:rRNA from 1 species
UGGGGAAUAUUGGACAAUGGGCGAAGCCUGAUCCAGCCAUGCCGCGUGUGUGAAGAAGGUCUUCGGAUUGUAAAGCACUUUAAGUUGGGAGGAAGGGCAGUAAGUUAAUACCUUGCUGUUUUGACGUUACCAACAGAAUAAGCACCGGCUAACUUCGUGCCAGCAGCCGCGGUAAUACGAAGGGUGCAAGCGUUAAUCGGAAUUACUGGGCGUAAAGCGCGCAUAGGUGGUUCAGCAAGUUGGAUGUGAAAUCCCCGGGCUCAACCUGGGAACUGCAUCCAAAACUACUGAGCUAGAGUACGGUAGAGGGUGGUGGAAUUUCCUGUGUAGCGGUGAAAUGCGUAGAUAUAGGAAGGAACACCAGUGGCGAAGGCGACCACCUGGACUGAUACUGACACUGAGGUGCGAAAGCGUGGGGAGCAAAACAGGAUUAGAUACCCUAGGUAGUCCACGCCGUAAAACGAUGUCGACUAGCCGUUGGGGAUCCUUGAGAUCUUAGUGGCGCAGCUAACGCGAUAAGUCGACCGCCUGGGGAGUACGGCCGCAAGGUUAAAAACUC